ACGAGGGUUGAUUCCGCCAUCUACUUUUCCAACUCCAACUAUAUUAAGGAAAGGUAAGAAUUUCAGUCUUUUUUUUUUAAUUUUAAAUUCCAAUAUCUAGUCUUCUUUCUUUUCUAUUUACUUUUGAAUCAUUAAACAAAACAAGUCUAAAAUUCAUAAUAUUUGUCUAGCUAAGUUCAACUCCACCAUCUGCAGAAUAAAUGAUCCAUUAAAAUUAUAUUCUACUUUUUGUCUUGAAAUUAUAUGAAAUGCGACUUAUAUCAUAGACACGAGCUCCUGAUUUUACAAGAGAUCCCGAUACUUGGUGGUGAAACCAUUUUGUCAAACAUCUAGUAUUCUUGAGCUGCAUUUAGAAAAGAACAGAUUUUUUUACUUUUUUGUAGAAUAUGCAGUUACACAUACUAAAAAUGGAUCUACGGAUACAAAGAAGUGGAGAUAAAAAAUAGAGAUAGUGAGACAAAUGUGGUAAAAAUGAAUACGAAGAGGGUUUAUAGAGGACAGUUUUUUCCGUGUGAUGACUCUCACCAUUGGGAUAAAAGCCCCUUCUUAAAUUUGAAUGUACUGUAGGCAAACUAGAACAAGGCUAUGGAUGCUAGACACUUCAAUUUAGUUUAAAAAUAUUGGCAAAAUUGAGUACAUGUGUCGGACUCUUCAAAGUACCCGUGUUUGACUGGACACUCUAUCUGAGUCCAUGUAACUUAGAACUAAAUCAUUUCUUUAAAUAUAGUUGAAAAUGAGGCUGUGAAGAACCAUCAAUUGAAAAGCAUGAAUUUUGAUGAAUGACGACAGUCAUCUCAGAUAGAUCCUUAUUCUCGAGAUUAACUUGUACGCAGGAUAUUGAGAUGGUUGAAUGAUGAGGAAGAAAAUUUGAAAGCAGAACACCAACCAAACAUUCAAUUUUUAAUUGUAGAGAUGUCACGUAAGCAAUUUCUUACCUGUUUUUCCCUCAGUUAUAUAACCAUUUUGUUACUGUAUUUUCCUUGGACUAAAUCUCAUGAUUCUUCACCAUUGCAGCCAUUACAGAUAUCGACACUAGCGGAAUCCAUGCCUUGGAAGAGCUGCACAGGAGUCUCCAAAAGAGAGAUGUUCAGGUAACUAUAAUUAGUACAUAGAUUUUAUUUACCUUGGCAGAAAGCUCAAAUCUUAGGAGCUAUGUUUCACAGACUCCGGAUGGAGUGUCUGGUUGGAUACGAUAUUUUGUAAAUUCCGACACGAGUGGUCCUCAAAUUUGUUAAUUUUACACUAAAAUAAAUUGUCCAGUACCUAGACCCUUAUAACUUGUUUGAGUGUUGGACAUGGAUACUUUAGGAAACAUUACUUAUAAGAGAUGUUCGUGGAAAAAUUACCUUAUAAAAUCUUCUUGUUCACAGCUUGUUCUGGCGAAUCCCGGGCAAACAGUGAUUGACAAGUUACAUGCUUCUGGAUUCCCAAGUUUGAUUGGAG
rnacentral:lncRNA from 1 species